rnacentral:sRNA from 1 species
UUUUCAAGAUUAUGGGCUUAUAAUUUUUUUUAUUUUUUUUCACAGAAAAUUAAAAUUUUAUUGAUGGAUUAGAACCUUACAAGAGUUGAAUUAUAUAAGUUGGCAAGGGAAAACACUCCUUCCAAAGACUAAGCCGGCGAGCACAAUACAUCUCCCGGGAACUAAGAUAGAUCUAAAGGGGAAAAACCCAAAUUAAAUAACAACAAUGAUACUAAACCUAAACUUCCCAGAUCCAUUACUAAAAAACUCAAAACUGAAAAACAAAGUCUAAAUCCAAAGUUAUUUUAAAAAACAGAUCUGAGACUAGAGAUCUAACCAAAGAAAAUAAAAUCAAGACUCUCCUUACCACAAACGGCGGUGAGACAUCAAACAACACCCCGAAACCCAAAGGACAAGGUCUCAAGAAGAAAGGAAGGAGAACUAGAUCUUCAAUGGAGAGAGAUCUGCAUCUGAGGCGAUGAAAGAUCGAAAUGAACCUGCCUCUGCCAUGGUUGGAACGGCCAGAACUGAAGCUGCAGACGAAGGAGACAAACAAGCAGCAAAACUGGAAGAGCAAAGGAUUUAGACUUCACAGAUCUAGAUCUGUGAAUUUAGAACAGAGACCGUUGGAAGAAAAUAGGAUUCAGAUCACAUUAAACCCACAAGAAAACGAAACUAAAGAGAUUACAACAAAGAAAUUCCGGUUUUGGUGCUGAAAAAGCCACCGGAACUGGAAACCCUAGGCGGGGCGGCGAAGCUUCUCGUAAUAUGUUU